UUGACGGGGCCCGCACAAGCGGUGGAGCAUGUGGUUAAUUCGAAGCAACGCGAAGAACCUUACCAGGUCUUGACAUCCCUGACAACCCGAGAGAUCGGCGUUCCCCCUUCGGGGGACAGGGUGACAGGUGGUGCAUGGUUGUCGUCAGCUCGUGUCGUGAGAUGUUGGGUUAAGUCCCGCAACGAGCGCAACCCUCGACCUUAGUUGCCAGCAUUCAGUUGGGCACUCUAAGGUGACUGCCGGCUAAAAGUCGGAGGAAGGUGGGGAUGACGUCAAAUCAUCAUGCCCCUUAUGACCUGGGCUACACACGUGCUACAAUGGGCGGUACAAAGGGUCGCGAACCCGCGAGGGGGAGCCAAUCCCAAAAAGCCGCUCUCAGUUCGGAUUGCAGGCUGCAACUCGCCUGCAUGAAGCCGGAAUCGCUAGUAAUCGCGGAUCAGCAUGCCGCGGUCGAAUACGUUCCCGGGCCUU
rnacentral:rRNA from 1 species